rnacentral:rRNA from 1 species
CCCUGCAGCUCUCGCUGGUUUCCCACUGAAGUUAAGCAGCGUUGAGUGAUCCUGACCAGUACCUGGAUGGGAGACCUCCUGGGGAAAACUAAGGUUGCUGCUGGAA